rnacentral:rRNA from 1 species
UACGAAGGGGGCUAGCGUUGCUCGGAAUUACUGGGCGUAAAGCGCACGUAGGCGGCUCUUUAAGUCGGGGGUGAAAUCCUGGAGCUCAACUCCAGAACUGUCUUCGAUACUGAAGAGCUCGAGUCCGGGAGAGGUGAGUGGAACUGCGAGUGUAGAGGUGAAAUUCGUAGAUAUUCGCAAGAACACCAGUGGCGAAGGCGGCUCACUGGCCCGGUACUGACGCUGAGGUGCGAAAGCGUGGGGAGCAAACAGG